GCCUAUGUGUGGGGGGGUGCGUUUCAUUUGUCUUUAAAAUUUUGGUUUCAUAGGCAGGUUAACAUAGGUUAACAUAGGCAGGUGUGCAUGCACACAAGUGCACUUCCCAAACACCUUCACGUGGGCACAGUUUCUCAGACACUGGGGCACCCAAAAGAAUCAUUGAGAAUCAUUGCUCAAGGUUUUGUUUAUAUCCAGUUUACACGCUGAUGCCGACAUGAACGGGAAAAUGCCCAGUUUUAAAGGAACUUAUACGUGCUAGUGAGAGGCAUGAGAGGUUAUUUUGAGGGUUAUCGCAUCUACGAAGGUAGGAAGACAGAGAGGUUCUCGGGGUUCACAGAGCAUACAGAGUACACAUUUCGGAGCUACGAGGAGCAGAGAGAUCAAACAGAAAAGAGCUUAUUUUGAGGGUUAUCGCAUCUACGAAGGUCGGAAGACAGAGAGGCGGGCCACGCAGCGCUGGUGAACUCUCGGUCACGAUCGUUCGGCCGCACAUGAAUCCCCAAUAAAUAAAGCUGGCAGAGCAAAAAGGGGACAGUCGACCCAGAGUCAUUGAGCAGUGCACAUCGUUCCUAAUCAUAAAAUUUUGGCCAAGUGGGAAAAAAAAAUAUUUACCAGGAUAUACAACAAGGUCAUUGCACAGGAUACUAGAACCAAGGACAUCGCACAGGAUAACACUACGAUACACCAAGGAUACAAGCAACAAGGACAUAGCACAGGAUCAUACGGGUACACACCAAGGAUACAUUGCCCAGGCAUUGCACAGGACACAACUGGCAUACAACAAGGAUACUAGCGACACCGCAGUCAAGGCACAGGACCCAAGACACAGGAGCAGGCUUCAUAUAGCAGCAUGGUUGGAGUAGCGUGGAUCUCGUACCGGCGCAAGGCGGAGCUGGAGGCAUUCGCUAAAGAAUUCGGAUUCGAACGGGAAAGCACCUUGGAGGAACUUCGAGGCCGCACGUCUGCCUUUGUGAGUCGUGGGGACACUCGGCUACGAUCCAGGCACACUUAGAGGAACUUGAAGACGCAUUUGGAAGAGCACGGACUCCCGCUCAACAGCGAUAUCGGUGCUUGUCGCCUACUACGAGUGGAAAUGGAAACCAAGCGAAGGAAAUCCCACCAGGAGAGCCAACAAGACCGGGUAUGCAUUACCUCAGCAUUCCGGUGCCUGGACAACAGCAGCGCGUAUCAUUUGGGCCAAGGAGUACCGGAACUUUUGAAAGGGACUGCCGAGGACUGGUUUCGUACGAGUCAUCUACAGGGAGAGUCAUGGAACGUGUUUCGCAGGAAAUUGUUGGACUUCCUACCCCGGCGGUAUUCGGAAGCUCAGGAACUGGAGCAGGUGUACAAAAAUCUGCUGCCCGAGUACCAGUUGUACGUGAGACGCCUGGACUUCCGCUCGUUCAAACAGCUAACACAACUAGUGAUAAACUUUGAGGUCAUCCGGGAACGCGAGCGUCAACGUCAAGCCAGAACCAGGACAGGAUCAGCAUCGAUGCCAAAGCGUGGAACCGGCGCAACGAGCCCCAAACCCGGCCCACAGACUAACAGUGCGGACCGUAAUAGCUUUGGCAAAUGGUAUCGAAAGAUGGAACUAACGCGGGUAAUUCAAGCCGACUCGGACAAUCACGGGCUAGCAUCCUGAUGCUGGUCCCGCCAACGGCACUCGACGACGUGCUGCUGAGUUUGGAUUUCUUUGCCGCCAUAGAUGCCAAGCUGCAUGUAGGAGGGUUGCUUAUCCCCUUGAGCAGAUCCAACCACGGAGCCACAGAAUGUCAUCGACCGACAGGGAGGACAAGCAACGACGACGCCAUCAUCCCCGAGGCGGUUGUCACAUCACCAGGGAGGACAAGGAUUCGAGAUGACCCCGAACCUGCAACCGUGAGGUGACCGGCGGAUCAUCCUCGACGAUGAGGACCAACAAGGACGACGCCUGCAUCCGCGAGGCGGUCGUCCCAUCAACCGAAACAACGAGGACAAACCAGGACGACGCCUGCAUCCGCGAGGCGGUCGUCCCAUCAGCAUUGACAACGAUUGUUCGAGAAGACCCCGGCACAGAACGAGACAGAACUUGGGGAGGCGCUCUCCAACCAGCCGCCACAAGCCAGCUCGGACAUAGCUCAGCAGAGCCGAUAGCACCACGAGUACAAGAAUUCCUGGAGGAAGAAUUGGCGAAAUUCGACGGCCUGACCGGCCUGUCCAACAUCGCCGAGCACGUUAUAGUGAUGCGCGACGAUCGCCCGAUCAAACAGCGAUACUUUCCACGGAAUCCAGCCAUGCAAGGGGUAAUUCACGCGCAAGUAGACGAGUUACUAAGGGAUGGAUGCAUCGGGCCUUCCAAAAUCCCACAUAGUGCCCCUAUUGUGUUGGUGGGCAAGAAGACUGGAGAAACCCCGCAUGUGUGUAGACUUUCAUCAACUCAAUGCACGAACGGUACCGGACGCAUACCCCCUGCCGAGGGGGUAUAUAUUAUUACAUUGGACCUGAAAAGCGGGUAUUGGCAGAUACCCAUGGCCAAGCCCAGUCGUGAAAGCACCGCGUUCACAGUACCAGGACGAGGUCUCUUCCAAUGGCGUGUUAUGCCAUUUGGACUCCACUCGGCACCCGCCACAUUCCAGCGGGCACUCGACAGUGUCAUCGGAGCAGAUAUGGAACCCCAUACGUUCGCAUAUCUCGAUGACAUCAUCAUCAUUGGAACAACAUUGGAGGAACACGUCAGGAAUCUCAGAGAAGUGUUGAGGCGCUUACGACAAGCGAACCUCAGGUUUAACCGGAAGAAGUACCUCUUCUUCUACGCCGAUGCCUGGGUCUCGCCCCCUGGUACAGGCGAUUUGUCCCAAACUUUGCAGCCGUGGUGCAACCGAUGUCACAACUACUGCGGAAAGGCAAGAAAUGGACGUGGGAAACCCAACAACAGCAAGCGUUCACGAAACUCAAGGAACUACUGACCGAGGCGCCAGUUCUCACGUGUCCGGAUUUUACCAGUAAGUUCUCUUUACAAACUGACGCCAGCGACUACGGACUAGGAGGAGUACUAACCCAGCCGAGUGGCGACGGCGAAAGGGUCAUUGCAUAUGUGAGCCGAAGACUAUCGAGGGCCGAGGAGAAUUACUCCACCACCAAGAAGGAAUGUUUAACAAUCGUCUGGGCUAUCAGGAAGCUACGUUGCUACUUGGAAGGAUACAGGUUUAACGUAGUGACGGACCACUUAGACCAACCAAGCUCGGGACAUCUGGGAAUACGCAAGACAACGACAAUGGUAUGUCAAAGAUAUUAUUGGCACGGAAUCUUCAGAGACGUCGCCCGCUACGUAAGGAAAUUUUGCCAAAAGUUCAAAGCACAACAAGCUAAACCAGCAGGGAAGAUGCUUACACGACAGGCAAGCGAGCCUUUCGCUACCAUUUGCGCCGACUUCGUUGGACCGCUAUCGAGAUCCAAACAAGGUAACACAGUGUUACUAGUCUUCUUAGAUAUGUUUUCCAACUGGGUGGAGCUGAUACAUCUGCGCCGUGCCACUGCAACAUACUUGGAGAAAGCUUUUCGCAAUAGGAUUCUCAGCCGAUUUGAGAUACCCCGGAAGUUCAUCUGCGACAACGGGAAUCAAUUUACCAGUCGUUCCUUUAAGGCGUUUUGUAAGCGAGCAUGUAUGACACUGGAGUAUACUGCGCCGUACAAUCCACAGCAAAACCCGACGGAGAGAGCUAACCGGACAAUCAAGACUAUGAUCGCUCACUACAUCGAAGGACCACAUAGUACAUGGGACGACCUGCUACCGGAGAUUUCAUUGGCAAUCAAUAGCAGCGUGUCCGACACAACAGGAUUCAGUCCGGCGUUCCUGGUCCAAGGACAAGAGCCGAGACUACCAGGAGCAUUGUACGAGGAAGUCACGCCAGGAUCCGGAAUAGUCGCUACCGAUUUUGCGAGGUUUUCCAGACGACGAGGGACAACACACAGCGAGCAUCGGCGGAACAGGGCCGCCAUUACAACCUACGACGACGCUAUUGGAGACCAACCAUUAGGAAGCUUGGUGCUAGUGAAGCAACAUGUACUAUCAAAAGCCAACGACAGAUUCGCCGCCAAGCUAGCCCCACGGUACGAGGGCCCGUAUAAGGUAACCUAUUUCAUUUCACCCAAUAUAGCCAGAAUUUGCCACAUGGAGACCGGACACCGGCUCACCACCGGGGUAGCCGACCUGAAAGCCUUCCAGCAACACGACGACGAGGAACAGCAGGACAGCGAAGACGGCGAGCAUCCGCUCGACAGCAAAACAGACGAUCAGCCGCCAGGACUAGCAAGUAAAUUUGGGGCGCUCACAAAGAGGAUUAGUAUAAGACACUGUAUAACAUCGGUAGUAGUAUUACGUUAGGGUACUUCCAAGUUUCAAAAAUCGAACCAGACUAUUGUCCUGUAGAGCAUAAUCUGUCCAUAGUCUCAGGGAUAUAACCUCGUUUAUAUCCCACAUCACUUAGCACGACCAUGGGCGACGAGGAGAUCGAGGAACCGUGGCGACAGUGGGCAGAACAACGCCAAAACGACUGGGGCUGGGUUCCCCAAUACCAACGCCGGUUCGAGGGGUUUGAAGACGAGGGAAACGAGGCCGAACACGCCCGAGGAAUGUCGCAGUUCGACGAUAUUAGCACGGAGAUGUUCCCGAGUACAGAGAACGCCAUGCACCGAUACCUCUAUUACAGCCGGAGAACGAAGAGAUGGUGGAGAGCGUGGCCCGGGUGGCCGUCAUCAGCUCCAUCCGCUUCGCUCGGGCUAUCGCCAGCCCAAGACACCGACGAGCUGAAAUUGUCGUUUGGCAGCAGCGACCUCCAGACUCUGCUAGGACCGGACGUUAACAUCAAAGCCGUAACAGUAGAGCUGUUGCAGGAGGAAGAAAAGUGGGUUGAGGCACCUGCCGAAUGGCGGGCGAAUACCCCGCGCAGACUCAUCCCCCGGAGCCUCGUGGAAAUGGUCCGCACCAGCCAACAACAGGAGACCUGGCGGCGACGCUUCACCCUGGAGUGGCCGGACAGCAAAUUUAAGAUCACGAUCACCCCGUACGGCGCAGUCACCAUCAAAUAUCACCCGGGAAGAAGGUGGGAAAGGG
rnacentral:lncRNA from 1 species